CUUUUAAACACCGCUGUAUGUGUGUCUGUUUCUGCCUUUAGGAGCCCCAUAACAAGCCAGAGACUGAGAGAGCUGAGCAGCACAGAGCUGAGUGUGUGUGUGUGUGUGUGUGUGUGUGUGUGUGCAUCUUUAAAAAUAAAAGAAGUUUGCUGAAAAGCGAAAGGGAAAUAAAGAGAAUAAAGAGUCUUGUGAGUUGUAAGCCUGCCUCCCAUUUCCUCAUGUCCUUCUGAACCAAAAAGGGAAUUGUUACUCUGAUGAUGAAACCCAGGAAUUGAGGAGGAUUGGCGGUCAUGGAGUCCUCGCCAGAUGGGACCGCAGCACGACCCAGAGGCAUUUGUUGAGUUGUUUGAGUGUGCAGCAGAAGCUUGGAGCUGGCCAGAGUCACAGUGGGCAGUUCAGCUGCUGCUGCUACUGUCGGGGGAAGGCCACACCCACAAACAGCACCGUCAGCUCACUGCUCAUUCAGAGAGCUCUGCCACCGAUUAGCAUUCACCCAGCAGCACCGGGACACCUGCUGAAGAUGGCUGCUGGCAGAGGAGCACGGCGCUGUGGAUGUGUUGGAGCAGUUCUUCUCCCAACUACUGCAGGGGACAGCCGAGUGGGUCCAGUACCACUGUCCGGUGUCGCUAGAUGAGGAGAUCCAGUGGGCGGAGCUCCAUUUGACGGUGAAUGCAGGGGCAGGAACAAAAACACAGGUUUUCUCAAUCAAUGAAAGUAGGAAAUUCUUGGAUGUCCAAAGUAAGAUUGAGGAACGGUUGAAGAAACGCGUUCAGCUCCAUCAAGUGGCUUCAGAGGAUUAUUGUGAUGUCAUCAUGGCUUUUGUACCCAUUGUGUCCCGGGCUGGAACAGACAUUGCAGCUGCUCUUCGAAAUAUUCCAACAAAUCGGCCUGUCAUCCUCGUGGUGCUCCACCA
ensembl:lncRNA